GCUUAGAUAUGAAAGGGGAGCGAGGGGGGCGAAUGACACGCAGCAUAGAGCCGCAGGUUGGAGUCAAACCUGCGGCCGCUGUGUAAAGGACUAAACCUCUAUAUAUGGGCGCCCGCUCUACCAACUCAGCUAACCAGGCGCCCACUACGCAUGUAUUUCU